rnacentral:lncRNA from 1 species
AACAAUAAGGAUGGUGACAGAAAUGAAUUGAAAAGCUUCAUGGGUCAAACAUAGAAUUUUUACGAGAAAGCAAAAAUUCAACUUCAUCAAAAAUUUACUACAACCAGCGCCUCAAUAAUGGCAAAACCAUCAAAAGUCGAGUCAAAAUAGGAACAGGAGUAGUUCGUAGAAAAUGAAAAAUAAUAGUAAACUCCAUAGUUAAGGAAAACAACGUUCACAUAUGGCUGAACAUGAAGCAACUCACUUACAAAACAGAGGCAGUAAACAAUUAGCACAAAUUGAAGUCAUCAAUGAGCAAAUCAUAAACGGAUGUUUCAACAAUCCAAGGAAGCAUUGGAGCAUCAGAAAAUGGUGGCAACAUCGUUACGACACCGAGGAACGGAUCAACGAUUACACCAUUUCGAAUCUAGAUUCAUACCUGAUGUGCAACUAAAAAUUGAAAAGAAAAACCAAAGCAUAAGACAAACCACUACCGAAUGUCGAACGGAAACCUCAACGAGACUCAAGCUUUGACCGGAAUUUUAGUGACCAGGUGUUAUGUUGGACUAAAAAUCACCGAAAAAUAUGCAAGCUAACGGGAAUGUCAAAUCUGUCGUCAGCGAGAGAAAAGCUAAAACCAAAGAAAAGUUAUAAGAAUAGCAGCUUCCCUUCUCUCCGUAUGUGAAUGUGUGUAUGCAUUUUUGUGCUGCUGGUUCCCGUUUUUAAUGGUGGUCGCCGAAAAUCGAAACCAAACAGAUCGGCAUUCGAGCUUCACUAUCCAAUUUGAACUUUCCAGCCAAACUCCAACGACAAAUAUUGAUUUCUCCGACCAGUGGAGCACCGUUUGGUCACUCUUGUAGGUUGUGAGUGUGGUUGCUGGCCAGAGUUCAAGUCAUGGGGANNNN